rnacentral:rRNA from 1 species
UCAAUUGUUUUAUAAUUGAAGACUAGAAUGAAUGGUUGAAUGAAAUAAAGACUGUCUUAUUUAUAUUAAUUAGAAAUUGGCUUUUAAAUGAAGAGAUUUAAAUGUGAUUGAUAGACAAGAAGACCCUAUUGAGCUUUAAAUUAUUUUAAGGGUAUAUUUUAUUUUUAUAAAUAUGAGUUUUAAAGUUAAUUUUUGGUUGGGGCGACUGAGGAGUAGAGGAAGCUUCCUUUAAUAGUAAAAGAUUAUUGAGUUUUGAUCCAAUAUGAUUGAUUAAAAGAGAUAGUUACCGUAGGGAUAACAGCAUAAUCUUCUUUGAGAGUUCAUAUCGAAGAGAAGGGUUGUGACCUCGAUGUUGGACUAAAAUAUCCUAUAAAUGCAGUUGU